UACGUAGGGACCAAGCGUUGUUCGGAUUUACUGGGCGUAAAGGGCGCGUAGGCGGCAAUUCAAGUCAUCUGUGAAAUCUCCGGGCUUAACUCGGAAUGGUCAGGUGAUACUGCUUUGCUAGAGUGCAGAAGGGGCAAUCGGAAUUCUUGGUGUAGCGGUGAAAUGCGUAGAGUAAUCAAGAGGAACACCUGAGGUGAAGACGGGUUGCUGGGCUGACACGUGACGCUGAGGCGCGAAGCUAGGGAGCAAACGGG
rnacentral:rRNA from 1 species